GAAAGAGUUCCAGCUUCAUCACGGAGUUUCUCUCGGUUUGUGGGCUCAUCUAAAGUUUAUUGUCAACACGUUGAGAGAAGAGUGAGAGAGUGUUUGGAGAAAAACACCAACUAAUCAUUAGCUCAGCACGCUGGGAGAAGUUGGAGCGGAAAAGUCUUUUCAUUGUCCCUGCAGCUGUUUUUCUGCCUGCACCAAACCUCUACAGCCUCAUUUCUAUUUGAAGUGAUAACAGGAAAUGGAUGAGAGCGAUCUGCUGCAGUAUCAGGGUCACAAUAAACUUUAUUGUCCAGCUGCUGUGGAUGAACACAUGAGAGGAAGUGAACUCCUACAAAGUCUCAUUUUAAUGAGUCUGGCUGCUGUAAAGUGAUGCACAGGAAGAUGUUAACAAAAACUAAUGAAACAGAGAUGAAAGUAAACAGUGUUCAUAUUUGAAAGCACAGAGAAUA